rnacentral:rRNA from 1 species
GAGGAGCAUUGUGUAAUAGAUAGAAGCAGUAUCGAAAGGCGCUGUGGACGAAACACAAGAGAGAAUGCUGGCAUAAGUAGCGAGAAGGAGUGUGAGAAUCACUCCCGUCGAAAACCUAAGGGUUCCUGAGCAAGGCUCGUCCCCUCAGGGUAAGUCGGGACCUAAGGCGAGGCCGAAAGGCGUAGCCGAUGGACAAGUAGUAAAAAUUCUACUACUAUCAAUUAUCGUAUAAAUGAAGCGGGGACACAGAAGGAUAAGCUAAGCGUACCAGAUGGACGAGUACGCUCAAAUAAAAAGGCAUGCCAGGACUAAUAACCAGGCUAAGCCAAUUUAUGAUGAGGAUCGAAAAUAAGUAGAGAAGUAGCCGAUUUCACACUGUCAAGAAAAGCCGCUAAAUAGAUAAAAGAUACCCGUACCGUAAACCGACACAGGUAGGAAAGGAGAGAAUCCUAAGACGCGCGGAAGAACCUUUGUUAAGGAACUCGGCAAAAUGACCCCGUAAGUUAGCGAGAAGGGGAGCCAGAGCGAUCUGGCCGCAGUGAAUAGGCCCAAGCGACUGUUUACCAAAAACACAAGUUUCUGCUAAGUCGAAAGACGACGUAUAGGAGCUGACACCUGCCCGGUGCUGGAAGGUUAAGGGGAAAUGUUAGCAUUUAGCGAAGCAUAGAACUUAAGCCCCAGUAAACGGCGGCCGUAACUAUAACGGUCCUAAGGUAGCGAAAUUCCUUGUCGGGUAAGUUCCGACCCGCACGAAAGGUGUAACGAUUUGGGCACUGUCUCAACAAAGGAUCCGGUGAAAUUGAAGUAAUGGUAAAGAUGCCAUUUACCCGCGACAGGACGGAAAGACCCCAUGGAGCUUUACUGUAGGCUGACAUUGGAUUUCGGUAGUACAUGUACAGAAUAGGUGGGAGACAUAGAUCCUGGUACGCAAGUAUCAGAGGAGUCACAAUGUGGGAUACCACUCCUGUAGUGCUGGAAUUCUAACCUUGAGCCGUAAUCCGGUUUAGGGACACUGUCAGUUGGGCAGUUUGACUGGGGCGGUCGCCUCCCAAAAAGUAACGGAGGCGCUCAAAGGUUCUCUCAGUACGGUCGGAAAUCGUACGUAGAGUGUAAAGGCACAAGAGAGCUUGAUUGCAAGACAUACAGGUCGAGCAAGGACGAAAGUCGGACUUAGUGAUCCGGUGGUACCGCAUGGAAGGGCCAUCGCUCAACGGAUAAAAGCUACCCUGGGGAU